CCCUUAGAUGUUCUGGGCUGCACGCGCGCUACAAUGAUAGACUCAAAGAGUUUUCAAAAAAAGGAUAUGAUUUUAUUUCGUAUUCUAUAUUUCCUUGAUCGAGAGAUCUGGGUAAUCUUUUUUGAAAUUCUAUCAUGUUAGGGAUUGAUGAUUGCAAUUAUUCAUCAUAAACGAGGAAUGCCUUGUAAGUGCUUUUCAUCACAAAGCGCUGAAUACGUCCCUGCCCUUUGUACACACCGCCCGUCGCUCCUACCGAUUGAAUGUUCCGAUGAAUACCAUGGACUGAGAGUAUGAAUGGGUUCGCCUAUUUCUGCUUCUCGGGAAGUGGAGUAAAUCUUAACAUUUAGAGGAAGGAGAAGUCGUAACA
rnacentral:rRNA from 1 species